GGGAGACUGGAUUUCCUGGUGUAGCGGUGAAAUGCGCAGAUAUCAGGAGGAACACCGGUGGCGAAGGCGGGUCUCUGGGCCGAUACUGACGCUGAGGAGCGAAAGCGUGGGGAGCGAACAGGAUUAGAUACCCUGGUAGUCCACGCCGUAAACGUUGGGCGCUAGGUGUGGGGACCAUUCCACGGUUUCUGUGCCGCAGCUAACGCAUUAAGCGCCCCGCCUGGGGAGUACGGCCGCAAGGCUAAAACUCAAAGGAAUUGACGGGGGCCCGCACAAGCGGCGGAGCAUGUGGAUUAAUUCGAUGCAACGCGAAGAACCUUACCUGGGUUUGACAUGCACCAGACAUCCCUAGAGAUAGGGCUUCCCUUGUGGUUGGUGUGCAGGUGGUGCAUGGNUGUCGUCAGCUCGUGUCGUGAGAUGUUGGGUUAAGUCCCGCAACGAGCGCAACCCUUGUUCCAUGUUGCCAGCACGUUAUGGUGGGGACUCAUGGGAGACUGCCGGGGUCAACUCGGAGGAAGGUGGGGAUGACGUCAAGUCAUCAUGCCCCUUAUGUCCAGGGCUUCACACAUGCUACAAUGGCUCAUACAGAGGGCUGCGAGACCGUGAGGUGGAGCGAAUCCCUUAAAGUGAGUCUCAGUUCGGAUCGGGGUCUGCAACUCGACCCCGUGAAGUUGGAGUCGCUAGUAAUCGCAGAUCAGCAACGCUGCGGUGAAUACGUUCCCGGGCCUUGUACACACCGCCC
rnacentral:rRNA from 1 species